CAGGGAGACAACAAAAUGUUUAAUAUUAUUAUUUUGUCACCUUAGGUCGAUCGGUAUCUCACGUUCUUAAUUUAUUAAGGAUUUCAUUUCCUAAGUUUUUCUAGGUCACACCCAUUAUUUUUCCUGGGCCAUUAGCUCAGGUGGUUAGAGCGCACCCCUGAUAAGGGUGAGGUCCCUGGUUCAAGUCCAGGAUGGCCCAUAUCUCUAUGUUGGGGGUAUAGCUCAGCUGGUAGAGCGCCUGCUUUGCAAGCAGGAUGUCAGCGGUUCGAGUCCGCUUACCUCCACUGAUUACCACCUCCUACAUAAUAUGUUGAAAGGAAAUGUUUUGAGUUGUGAUCAAAUUCUGAACGAUUCUAGCUUCCUAAUGAAAUCAUUAAGAUGCUGGACUCAUUGAAUUAAUUUCAUUGUUUUCAGAGAACCUUGACAACUGCAUAGAUUAUUUUUAAAGACAAUAAGCAUCUUUAAUGAUGCAGAUUUAUUAUUUGUGCGAAUGCAUUAAUAACAAUUCUAUUAAGCUGAUGCUUCAAUUUUUGAAGUUAUU
rnacentral:tRNA from 1 species